GCUUCACCCGGGGAAACAGGAUGCAGUGGCUGAUGAUAAGAUGUGAGAGCCCCUGUGAGAAGGAGGAAGGGAUAGGACCCGGGGCUUGGGCCCUGCGGAGACAGAGUUCUGAAGAAUCUCCCUGAUGGAACUGGGGAGGGUUGAGUUGGAAUGGCUCCACAACCUCUGGUUGAGUCUGGUGAAUAAGCACGACAUGGCUCUGGCUCUUGGCACUUGCCAACAAUGUGGUCUUGGGCCUGUAAUUUAACUCUAACUCUACACCUCAGUUUUCUCAUCUGUGCAAUGGGCAUAAUCAUGACAGCGACCUGGGAGGGUGACUGAAGAACUGUAUCAGAUCAUGCACCUGCAAGGCCCAAUAAACAUUCAUUUCCUUCCCCCCAGGUGACAUCCUGACAGCCAGGGGCAGACCUAGAGUAAAGGGGAGAUUCCUCACAGCAAAUGAGCUCCAAGAGGAAAGGAAAGACAAAGGAGACCUGAAGGCAAACAGUCAUAAGCAAUGAGGCAAGAGGAGCAGAGGAUGGAAAAAAAAGAGAGGAAAGCCAGGUUCCUAGGAGCCUGAGGGCCUGGGCUAGCCCCAUACUCUGUCUCCUUCGCCUUCUCAGAAGACCAGGUGGCCUGAUCCCCCACCCCCAUUACCACAGCCCUUCUCCAGGUAAGGAGGAAGCUGGAGAGACCUGGGACGAGUCCAUCAAACUGCCAUCAGAAGAAAAGAAUGCAGACAGAAGACGGGUUUCAUCAGGAGAAGAGCUUUUCACCCCAUGGUGAAGAAGUUGAGGUUCUGAGGAUGUGAUUAAACAGACAGCUGAUACACGGCAGAGCAGAGAGUUGCACUUGCUCUUUCCAGAUCACCUCCCUGUCCCUCAGCUCGACCCACUUUGGCUGGAGAUGGAGAGGGAGCACAAGGAAGGCCUAGGACAGCGUUUGGUUCCCAGUGGUCAUGGGAUCACUGCUGACUGAUGCUGAAUCUCGUGGAGAAGGGACUGGAUCCUGGAUGGAGCUUUGUGUCAGCUACCAAGUUCUCCUCUUACAUUCAGCAUCUGUAAAAUCAGGAGGUGGGAUUGGCAGCUCAGUGGUUUUCAAACUGAGGUCCUGGGCAUCCUGGCAUCCUAUAGAGAUUGGGGUGGGGGAGGAAAGGACAGUGAAUGGGGGUGUGGGCCCCCACCAGCCUAACUUCCACCAGGGAAGCUCAGCAUAUCAAUUUCGGGUAUUGGACAUCCAGGAAUCUUUUUAUUUGAGCAGGGGUCUCACCUCACUCUAUGGCCUCCAUCUGACGUCUCUGCAGCUCUCUCCUUCUGGGAGCUGCGAUCUAGGCAAUUCAGGUCCUGGGCUGGGAAGAGAGGCCAGAGGAUCUGGCAAGGAAAGUGGGGUAGACCAUGUCUGGGCUUCCAGCCCUGUGGGAGGAAGCAGGUAGAGGUCCGACCCAUAGAAUCAGGCCACGGCAGAGGAGAUGAGCUGCAGAAUUACAGGGCACUUGCCUCCACACCUGAGAAACACAAA
rnacentral:lncRNA from 1 species